GCUUAGCUUAGAGGUUAGAGCAUCGCAUUUGUAAUGCGAUGGUCAUCUGUUCGAUUCCGACAGC
rnacentral:tRNA from 1 species